rnacentral:rRNA from 1 species
CCCUUAGAGUUUGAUCCUGGCUCAGAAUCAACGCUGGCGGCGCGCUUAACACAUGCAAGUCGAACGAGAAAGCCCGCAAGGGUGAGUAAAGUGGCGUACGGGUGAGUAACACGUGGGUGAUCUACCUCUUGGUGGGGAAUAACCCUGGGAAACCGGGGCUAAUACCGCAUAAGCUCGCCACUUAAGGUGGUGAGGAAAGGUGCAAAUCGCCGAGAGAGGAGCCCGCGGCCGAUUAGCUAGUUGGUGAGGUAAAGGCUCACCAAGGCAAAGAUCGGUAGCCGGCCUGAGAGGGCACACGGCCACACUGGCACUGAAACACGGGCCAGACUCCUACGGGAGGCAGCAGUGGGGAAUCUUGCACAAUGGGGGAAACCCUGAUGCAGCGACGCCGCGUGAGCGAUGAAGCCCUUCGGGGUGUAAAGCUCUUUCGACGGGAACGAUAAUGACGGUACCCGGAGAAGAAGCUGCGGCUAACUACGUGCCAGCAGCCGCGGUAAUACGUAGGCAGCAAGCGUUGUUCGGAGUUACUGGGCGUAAAGAGUGCGUAGGCGGUGAUCUAAGUCUGGUGUGAAAUCUCCCGGCUCAACUGGGAGGGUGCGCCGGAAACUGGGUUGCUAGAGUGUGGGAGAGGUAAGCGGAAUUCCUGGUGUAGCGGUGAAAUGCGUAGAUAUCACGAGGAACACCGGUGGUGUAGACGGCUUACUGGACCAUAACUGACGCUGAGGCACGAAAGCGUGGGGAGCAAACAGG